UACGUAGGGGGCAAGCGUUGUCCGGAUUUAUUGGGCGUAAAGAGCGUGUAGGCGGCCCGACAAGUCCGCUGUGAAAGUCCAGGGCUCAACCCUGGAAUGCCGGUGGAUACUGUCGGGCUAGAGUCCGGAAGGGGCGAGUGGAAUUCCGUGGUGUAGCGGUGAAAUGCGCAGAUAUCAGGAGGAACACCAAUGGCGAAGGCAGCUCGCUGGGACGUGACUGACGCUGAGACGCGAAAGCGUGGGGAGCAAACAGG
rnacentral:rRNA from 1 species